rnacentral:rRNA from 1 species
AAAUGAAUAGACGGGGGCCCGCACAAGCGGUGGAGCAUGUGGUUUAAUUCGAAGCAACGCGAAGAACCUUACCAGGUCUUGACAUCCCGCUGAUCGGUGUAGAGAUAUGCCUUUCCUUCGGGACAGCGGUGACAGGUGGUGCAUGGUUGUCGUCAGCUCGUGUCGUGAGAUGUUGGGUUCAGUCCCGCAACGAGCGCAACCCUUGUCGUCAGUUGCCAGCACGUAAAGGUGGGCACUCUGGCGAGACGGCCGGUGAAAGCCGGAGGAAGGUGGGGAUGACGUCAAAUCAUCAUGCCCCUUAUGUCCUGGGCUACACACGUGCUACAAUGGCCGGUACAACGGGUAGCGAACCCGCGAGGGGGAGCCAAUCCAAAAAACCGGUCUCAGUUCGGAUCGCAGGCUGCAACUCGCCUGCGUGAAGCUGGAAUCGCUAGUAAUCGCGGAUCAGCAUGCCGCGGUGAAUCCGUUCCCGGGCCUUGUACACACCGCCCGU